rnacentral:rRNA from 1 species
CGCCUCUUGAUUAAAUAUAAGAGGUCCAGCCUGCCCAGUGACAAAGUUCAACGGCCGCGGUACUCUGACCGUGCGAAGGUAGCGUAAUCACUUGUUCUUUAAAUAAGGACUUGUAUCAACGGCACCACGAGGGUUAUACUGUCUCCUUUUUCUAAUCAGUGAAACUGAUCUCCCCGUGAAGAAGCGGGGAUACAUCUAUAAGACGAGAAGACCCCAUGGAGCUUUAAACCCAACAGCAACUUAAGAAUAAAACCCCCUUAAUAUCUACUAAGCCCUGCUCGUUGGUUUUAGGUUGGGGUGACCGCGGAGAAAAAUAUAACCUCCACGAUAAACGGGACUAUGCCCUUACCCAAGAGCAACCGCUCUAAGAAUCAAUAAACUGAUAUAAAAUGAUCCGACAUUCGAUCAACGGACCAAGUUACCCUGGGGAUAACAGCGCCAUCCAUUUUGAGAGCCCCUAUCGACAAAUGGGUUUACGACCUCGAUGUUGGAUCAGGGUAUCCUAGUGGUGCAGCCGCUACUGAAGGUUCGUUUGUUCAACGAUUAAAACCCU